GGCAGAGGAGAAUCCAACCCCGUACUGACUUCCUGACCACCUGCCUGAGUGACUUAUUCACUGCUUCAGCUUGACCUAAUAAAUCACAUUACCAUUGCCGGUAGUGUAAUUACUGGCCAGCUGUCGCGUCUCUUUUUUUAACUCUGGGCUGGACUGAGUGUGCCGUACCGGACUGCAAGAGAGCCGACAGAGUGGAAGGGACAGAAAUCCAAUGGAGCGGGCUGGACUGGGCUCAGUAAAUGAAGCGAGAAGGAGCUGAAUCACGUUCAGUCCAAACCCCUAGAAGAGGUUUCCUGAUGGAGCAAUGAUUCUCAGCACAUAAUGCAUAACGGCCGCUGGUAUCUGUGUUUGGAGCUGUGAUUGAUUCCAGCUGGCUGAAGACGGAGCUCCAGAUCUCACCUGGUGCUCAUGAGGAGUGAUUAUCCUGGAGCUUCAGACCUCCUCCCUGGUCCUCCACUCCUCCUGAUCCACCGGAUUGGUUCACCACCACAACUCCUCCUCCCGCAACAUCCCAGCAAUCACUGCACAUGAGUAUAUAUCUGCAGCCAAGACCCCUUUCUGCUGGUUUGAUGGAACCAGUUUGUGCUGGUACCUCUUAGUGGUUUGUGCUGUGUUCUGUAGGGGUAGUGAGGGGUGACAACAGACAAUUAGAACUUCUGUUGGCGGCUGCUGAUUCCAUGUGGAGCUUCCAGUUUUAAUGGAGACUGUGGCUCCUGUUAGCAGUCUGCCAACUUUAGAAAGAAGCUGUUUCGUAACUUGAGCCUUUGUCUGUUUAGAGGCAUCCGUUUAGUUUAGUUAGUUCUGUACACUGUGUGUAUAGUUUCUGUUGUGUUGGGUGUUGCUGCUGUGUUUUGGUUUGGCUACGGAGUUUAGUUCUGUUUGUGAACUCCGUUAGCCUUCGUUUGGUUUUAUUUGGUUCUUUGAUUUAACAGCAUCCGCCAGCCCUUAUUUCUUUGUGUUAUCACUGUUUUUUAUGUUACUUUGCUACUCCGCAAUAAACUCCUUCACCUGAACCAAUAACAUCUGGUUAUUGUUGCUGCAUCCAGCUGAUCCUAGAGUUUGGAUCGCAAAAAAUGUCAGAACCAUCUGAGCUGCAUCAACUAAAGUAUGCUGGAAAGAAAGUGUAUUUAGCUGAAGUAUAGGGGUGUUUCAAAUCAUCAGUUUUUGUUUUUUUUAAAGAUGGCAGUUCACAUUUGUGGAUUCUAUCAACUUGAAAUCAUACAUUGUGCCUUUCUGCUGGCUUUCUAACGAUAGCCAAAGUGGGGAAAAUUGGGAUUUACUGCUCUUUUAGUGUUGUAUGUCUCACAUCAUGACUUUAAUGUAAAUUUUUCUGCUUCAGUUCACCCGCUGUUUGCUUCGAGUAGGGUUACAGAAAAGGGGGAAAAAUGUAAGUCUAAUGACAAAAUCAUGUUCUGCGUUUCGGCAAAGCAAAUACUUUGAAAACUGGGAACCUCAAUUGUCCUGAAAUCUGUUGUAGCCAUCAGGGCCGGCCCUAGGACUUUGAUGGCCCUAAGCAAGAUUUUUUUUUGUGGCCCCAAAACAUGCACAGGGCAACUACCAAAUCACGUGCACAGCUUGUAAUUGGGUUAAAACACACAUGCACAUGAUUAACAGCAAAUAUAUAUAUUUUUUUAAAUGUAUCCGAGACAGGGACAAAAUGCGAAUCACACACUUAUUGUGGUGUGGCCCCCUCUAGUGGAUGUGGCUAUAAACAACGGGAUAGAGUGUUUAUGCCAGCGGCCGGCCCUGGUAGCCAUGCAAACUGGUCACUUAACAAGAAGAAAAUGAUUCAAGUUUUAUCAAUUCAAACAACUCAUAAGUUGAUCAAAAAAAUUUCUUUGAGUGUAUUUGUUAAAAUAUAGCUCCAUAUUUUUGCUGACGGCGUUCUCAAUCAUUAAAACAUCGCAAAUUCUUCUACAAACAAAAGCAGCAAGAUGCAUGCAAAAUUAUUUCAUUGUUCUGUUUGCCCAAUGAGCAUUUUGUUCCUGGCUGCGUUCAGCAUCACGUCUUACUUCUUCAGCUGAGUCUUCCUUCAUAAUGACUGAAGCCUGUCUGCUUCCGUGAGGCCUUUAUUUAGGUGCACUGCUGUCAUUUUUUGAUUCAUAGCUGAUGCUUUAAAUAUGCAAAGUCUGACUGAGAUCAGGACUUUAAGGACCUUGAAGAAGGAAGGACAAUAAAGUUCCUUUAAUCUGAUCUCAUGGUGUGGUAAUAAAGUCGGAGCUGGCUGACUUAAUAUUGGCAUCUGCAGGAGGGCAAGGAGGGAGGAUGUGGAGUUUUACUCGUAUUGUGGGGACAUAAAUGUGUGUGAGUGGGGAUUUGACUUGCUUUGGAUGACAAAAAGCCCCCGAACAUCAAUAUGUAUCAUUAAAUUUUAUGUUUAAAUUCAAAUUAAAUUAAGAUUGAAUUAGGAUUAUAGCGAAUCUACAUUGAAUCAGUGCAAAUCAAUGUAAUGUCAAUGGAAGUGAUGGAAACCUGACGGUGUGUGUUACAUGUUUGUGUGCAUCCUCAAUAAACUUGUGCAUGGGACACGCUCUUGAAGCGUGUGUGUGUGCGUGUCUCUGUGUGUGUGUUCGCGAUGCCUUGCCUGAUGAAAGCCAGCAGGAGACCCAGCGCCCCUCUGAGCUCGACUCCAUCAGAGAGAAAAGAGGAGACGAGCAGCAAUGAGGACGGUGGGGGAGGGAGGGAGGAGAUGUGGGUUUCAGACUCUGUGUGUGUGUGUGUGUGUGUGUGUGUGUGUGUGUGUGUGUGCGCGCAUUUGUGCAUGUGUCUUUCUGAGGGAAUGACGAGGAGAUGGAGAGAGAACACACAGCUCUGUAUGUCAGUUAUGAUUCUUCAGCCAUGAAUGUAAAAUAGGACUGUAAUGCGCGGUUUGUCUGCGUGUGUCAUUGUGUUUCUGCAGACUCUCUGUGGCAACACAUGACACGAAACCAAACGAAAUGUCAUCUCAUGUUUGCGUUUUCCCUUCACAGCUACAGAAAAUAAAUAACUUCUAAUACGA